UCUUUGGUGGUCCAGUGGUUAAGACUAUGCGCUCCUAAUGCAGAGGUCCCAGGUUCGAAUCCUAGUCAGGGAA
rnacentral:tRNA from 1 species